rnacentral:rRNA from 1 species
UACGAAGGGUGCAAGCGUUACUCGGAAUUACUGGGCGUAAAGCGUGCGUAGGUGGUUCGUUAAGUCUGCCGUGAAAGCCCCGGGCUCAACCUGGGAAUGGCGGUGGAUACUGGCGGACUAGAGUGCGGUAGAGGGUGGUGGAAUUCCCGGUGUAGCAGUGAAAUGCGUAGAGAUCGGGAGGAACACCAAUAGCAAAGGCAGCUCGCUGGGACGUUACUGACACUGAGGCGCGAAAGCGUGGGGAGCGAACAGG